rnacentral:rRNA from 1 species
GCCAUACCACCCUGAACGCGCCCUAUCUCGUCUGAUCUCGGAAGCUAAGCAGGGUCGGGCCUGGUUAGUACUUGGAUGGGAGACCAAUGGAGCCACCCAGGUGC